rnacentral:rRNA from 1 species
GUCUAUAGCCAUAUCACCCUCAAUGUACCUGAUCUUGUCUGAUUUCAGAAGCUAAGCAGGGUUGCUGCCUGGUUAGUAUUUGGAUGAGAGCAUGAACUGGAAAAUGGGAAGAUCUCUCUC